rnacentral:rRNA from 1 species
UCCCUAUGGGGUGCAGCAGUCGCGAAAAUUUUGCAAUACACGAAAGUGUGACAGAGCUAUCCCGAGUGCCAUCCGCUGAGGAAGGCUUUUACCCAGUAUAAAUAGCUGGGAGAAUAAGGAGAGGGCAAGUCUGGUGUCAGCCGCCGCGGUAAUACCAGCUCUCCGAGUAGUGUGGACGUUUAUUGGGCCUAAAGCAUCCGUAGCUGGCUGGGCAAGUCCCCUGUUAAAUCCACCGAUUUAAUCGUUGGAAUGCGGGGGAUACUGUUCGGCUAGGGGACGGGAGAGGCAGACGGUAUUUUCGGGGUAGGGGUGAAAUCCUAUAAUCCCGGGAGGACCACCAGUGGCGAAGGCUGUCGACUAGAACGCGCCCGACGGUGAGGGAUGAAAGCUGGGGGAGCGAACCGGAUUAGAUACCCGGGUAGUCCCAGCUGUAAACGAUGCAGGCUAGGUGUUUGGGCGGCCACGAGCCGCCCUAGUGCCGCAGGGAAGCUGUUAAGCCUGCCGCCUGGGGAGUACGGCCGCAAGGCUGAAACUUAAAGGAAUUGGCGGGGGAGCACCACAAGGGGUGAAGCUUGCGGUUCAAUUGGAUUCAACGCCGGAA